UAUGCUAUUUGUAGGAGACUGAUUUGGAUUACAAAAUCAAAACUCCAUAGGAAGGCAGGAGGGGUGGAAGCAGCCCUACCAUUUGGAAAUAAAAAAUAAAAGUCUCCCAAACAAGUCCUGAAACAAAGCUUGUCCCACUGUCCUCCCUCAGUAAACACCAGUCAUUCUAAUCUUCUGUCAAAUUCAAAGUCAAGUCAAGCACUUUGCAUAUGUACCAUUUGUGCCAGCAGUUCUCUUCACAUGGGAAACUACCUUCAACUUCUUGAUUUUAGAACUCAGAAUCAAAGUUCCAAAUUUU
rnacentral:lncRNA from 10 species